AUGUCUUCCCUCGCUCUUUUCCACGGCCCAUUCUCCUACCACCGGGCUCCUCCCUCGUCGCCGACCGGCACCUCUCCACGGCCGACGCGACUGCCGGCGCAUUCUUCUCCUUCCCACCCCAAUUCGCGCCCCCUCCCUGACGCGCAAGCCGAUGAGCUCCGGUCCCACGCAGCGGCGCUGCAGGAAUGCGCCGUCCGCCGAGCGCUCCGCUGCGGACAGGAGCUCCACGCGCGGCUGCUCCGUUCCGCGCGGCAGCCGGACACGUUUCUCCUCGACUCGCUCCUCAACAUGUACUGCAAGUGUGGCCGCCUGGCGGACGCACGAAGGGUGUUCGACGGAAUGCCACACAGGGACGUUGGUCAAGUGGUUAAGUUGCAAGGUCUGGAUGACCCCUACGUUGGUUCGUCCCUUGUUCAAGCUUACACGAGCCGUGGGGAAGUGGACGCUGCUGAGACAGUGCUGCUGGGCUUGCCUGAACGAAGCGACGUGUCAUGGAAUGCUCUGCUCACCGAGUAUGCUCGGCAGGGCGACUACAGAAAGGCCAUGCGUGUUUUCCAUAACUUGUCGGAAUUUGGUGAUGAGAUAAGCAAGUAUACUUUGCCUACCCUUCUCAAGUGUUGUGUGGAACUCGGUCUUCCAAAAUCUGGCCAGGCUCUUCAUGCUUUGGUGGUCAAGAGAGGGCUGGAAACCGAUAACGUGCUGAACAAUUGCCUUGUUGAGAUGUACUCCAGAUGUCUAUCUGCUGAAGAGGCCUAUCAAGUCUUUAUCAGGAUAGACGAACCUGAUGUGGUGCAUUGCAGUGCCAUGAUCUCUUCUUUCGGUCGACAUGGUAUGGCCUGGGAAGCAUUUGAUCUUUUCGUAAAGAUGUCAGACAUGGGAGUCAACCCAAACCAAUAUACAUUCGUGGGCAUUGCUGGUGUUGCAUCAAAGACUGGUGAUGCAAACCUUUGUCGCUGUGUUCAUGCGUGUGUUGUGAAAAGUGGGCUGGCUAUGCCAAAAUUAGUGGCUGAUGCCAUUCUAAAUAUGUAUGUGAAAGUUGGUGCUGCUCAAGAUGCAACAGUUGCUUUUCAUCUUAUGCAUGAGCCUGACACAUUUUCGUGGAACACAUUUCUCUCCGGAUUUUAUAGUGGAAGCAACUGUGAGCAGGGUUUGAGGAUUUUCAAGCAGAUGAAGUGCGAAGGCUUUUCAGCCAACAAAUAUACUUAUGUAGGUGUUUUGAGAUGCUGCACUAGCUUGAGGAACCUGAUGUAUGGCACUCAGAUUCAUGCAUGUGUUCUGAAAAGUGGGUUGCAAAACGAUAAUGAUGUUUCAAGAAUGCUACUUGACAUGUAUGCGCAAUCUGGCUGCUUUACAAGUGCGUGCCUGGUAUUUGAUCGACUGGAAGAAAGAGAUGCUUUCUCGUGGACAGUGAUUAUGUCAGGAUAUGCUAAAACGGAUGAAGCUGAGAAGGUGAUGGGAUGUUUCCGUUCAAUGUUGCAAGAAAACAAAAGGCCUAAUGAUGCCACACUAGCAGUUUCAUUGAGUGUUUCCUCUGAUGUGGCAUCCUUAGGCAGUGGGCUCCAACUUCAUUCAUGGGCCAUCAAGUCUGGCUGGAACAGCUCAGUUGUCUCUGGUGCUCUAGUUGACAUGUAUGUGAAGUGCGGGAACAUAACGGAUGCUGAGAUUCUAUUCUAUGAGUCAGAAACAUGUGAUCAAGUUGCAUGGAAUACACUCAUCUGUGGUUAUUCUCAACAUGGUCAUGGGUACAAGGCACUGGACACGUUCAGACAGAUGGUAGAUGAUGGGAAAAGGCCUGAUGAUAUCACAUUUGUAGGUGUUCUCUCAGCGUGUAGCCAUGCAGGAUUACUUGACGAGGGAAGGAAGUACUUUCAAUUGCUGAGUAGUGUCUAUGGAAUUACUCCUACGAUGGAGCACUAUGCUUGCAUGAUUAAUAUUCUGUCCAAGGCUGGAAGACUAGCUGAGGCUGAAUCUCUUAUCAAUCAGAUGCCAUUGAUCCCGGAUUCAUCCAUAUGGAGGACGAUUUUGGGAGCUUGCAGGAUACAUGGAAAUAUCGAGAUUGCUGAGAGAGCUGCAGAAAGAUUGUUUGAGUUAGAUCCACAGGAUGUUUCUUCUUCUGUAUUGUUAUCAAACAUUUAUGCAGAUUUAGGAAGGUGGAGUGAUGUUACAAGACUUAGGAAUAUGCUACUAGAUCAUGGAGUAAAAAAAGAACCAGGGUGUAGCUGGAUUGAAGUCAAUGGCCAGAUUCAUGUAUUCCUGUCGCAAGAUGGAUGUCCAGAAUAUUAA
rnacentral:rRNA from 1 species